rnacentral:rRNA from 1 species
GACGAACGCUGGCGGCGUGCUUAACACAUGCAAGUCGAGCGGUAAGGCCCUUUCGGGGGUACACGAGCGGCGAACGGGUGAGUAACACGUGGGUGACCUGCCCUUAGCUCUGGGAUAAGCCUGGGAAACUGGGUCUAAUACCGGAUAUGACCUCAUGACUUAUGUUGUGGGGUGGAAAGCCUUGUGCGGCUAGGGAUGGGCCCGCGGCCUAUCAGCUUGUUGGUGGGGUAAUUGCCUACCAAGGCGA